rnacentral:lncRNA from 1 species
GGAAGUGUGUUGAAACUUGUAUUCAUGGGCCCCCUAAACAAUUGAAAUACUAAUCCAUCUUUGGGAAUGUGAUGGUUACCAUCAACACUUAGUUUGGUAUCUAUCAAUCAUUUAUGGGAUAAGGAAAAUAAGGUGGGAAAAUAAAGAUUACUUUUUAGCGUUGCAAGAAAAUUUAGCAUUUCCCGUUUCUGAUUAUGUUUGAGUUAUAUUUUGAAUAACUCUAGCAUGUGGAUGUUUAUCAACAAGGACAGAUAACAUUUUUUUUCCUUUUAAAAUUGGAGAAAGGAGAAUUGAAAUUGGUGAUUUCAAUUUCCAAUGAAUUGAUUACACGCAUUUCCAAAAAAAACUUACUUUUUUAAGUCUUUAAAGAGUUCCCGGGGAUAUAGAGAUGGCUUAACAAGAAUCAACAGUAUGAAAGCAUAAAUGCCUGCACUUGUUCGUUUUACUUUCCUUCUGCUAACAAAACUUCGUUUUGGCUUGUAGGGAGUGUCUCUCAUGGACAGUAACUUCCCUACCGCAGUUGCACCCGUCGUAUGGCCAGAAAUCCCACACAAUGGAAACAGACAGCAAUUUCACCCCUAAUUUCAUGACCCCAGAAAUUAGCCUUGAUUUGAGCAGGCCCAACAUUCAGCAGGAUUUCAGAGUAAGUUGGAAAACCUGGAUUUUAUUCAGCCAGCAGGCUAGCAAGGAAGAAGAAUUCUAAUGCUAUUUUCAUAUAAUAUAUUAAUUAAUAUCAGUGUGUAUACUAACUAUGAUGUUCAUGGUAGAAUCCCUUUCCUAUGAAAAAGCUACUAAAUUACACUUUUAAAUAGGUCAAUGAAAUUAUAAAUAUUUCCAAAAUCCAUAAUUCUAGUAAUUUGUCAUGUUGAUCCUUAUAUUGC